UGGGGAAUUGUUCACAAUGGGCGCAAGCCUGAUGACGCAACGCCGCGUGGGGGAUGAAGGUCUUCGGAUUGUAAACCCCUGUCGAGCGGGACGAACGGCUCACGAGCUAAUCAUCGUGAGAGUGACGGUACCGCUAAAGGAAGCCACGGCUAACCCUGUUCCAGCAGCCGCGGUAAUACAGAGGUGGCAAGCGUUGUUCGGAAUUACUGGGCGUAAAGGGCGCGUAGGCGGCCUCUUUAGUCAGACGUGAAAUCCCCCGGCUUAACCUGGGAACUGCGUCUUAUACUGGGAGGCUUGAGUUCGGGAGAGGGAUGUAGAAUUCCAGGUGUAGCGGUGAAAUGCGUAGAUAUCUGGAGGAAUACCGGUGGCGAAGGCGGCAUCCUGGACCGAAACUGACGCUGAGGCGCGAAAGCUAGGGGAGCAAA
rnacentral:rRNA from 1 species